CUAUUCUUUUAUACGGUGGUGUGAGAUGUGAUUUGUCACACCCCAAAACCGAGAACGGCGAAUUACGUUCUGGGGUGGAGGACGUCAUGUACAGUAUCAUAACAAUGUAUAAUAGUAAAAACAAGCAACACCAUCCAUUGCAUUAAUAUAAUAAUUGUAAACACAAGCGUGUUCUAUACAGUUUGUAAGACACCAAAAGUAUAAUCAAAAUAAAAAGAUGAGUCUUGUAUGUGCUCCAUCUUCUCCAAAGUUGCAUCUGUACCUGUCUACUGAUGACCUGAGAAUACAAGUUAUUUUGAAAACGAGUAUCAACAUAAAGUUGGUGGGCUCAUAAGUAUUUAGUGUCAUUGCUUGUAUAAAAGUGUUUACAAUCAUAUAAUAUACUAGCUGUUAUCAAUGUUUGAAGAUAGUAUGAUCCCUAGAAAAUCCCAUAUUUUCCAGCAAAAUUAGUCUUCUACCAAGACUCGGUUACUUGUGUAUUUAAUCCUUUGAAAGUAUAAGAGUUUUCCCAAUGAAACUAUCAGUAUGAAAAUAUAGUUUUAGACUUUAUUUAUGUAAAGUAAUUAGGAAAAAUAAUGUUUUACCCCAGUAGUGUCACUGUCGGCUGAAUGUAAUAAAAUGCAGACUCCAGGUAGUAUUAAAUGUACAAUACCCCUCGAGGAGUUUAUUUUGCCUUUAAUUCUUAAUGUAAUAAUUAAAGGUUUGAAUGUGAACUCGUAUGUAACCAUGCUAAUUGACGAUCGAAUAAUUGAUGACCCUCCAGGUCACACGUAGUAUAGUGACAUUUUGUUACCCUUGGGCCUAGUCGGCUCGGACUGUAGCUAGCAGUCGGGAUGUGAGAGUGUCUGUCCCGUAUAGAUCUAUACACAUAAUGCCCGCUCUCCCUCCAGGAGACUCUGGUUACACGGUGAUGGCACAGUGAAGUGUCGUAUCGAGGAAUAGUAUGUUACAUUCUGUUUUAGUAUAUUCUCUUAUAUUAUAGUAUAAUGUACUUGGUAUAAUGUAUUGAGUGUUCUCUUGUAUAGUAUAUGGUAUUCUCUUUUUAUAGUAUUUAACAUGUGUAGACUCAUAACAGUACCAACCAUGUCGUGGUGUCCAAAUUCGGUCCAUGAGGUAUAAGGCUCCGUUACCCUUGACUUCCAAGUUCUUAUCCAUUCCACGUAGGGAUUCUCCCGCCACAUUUUCAGGUUUCAAGGCUUUGAGCUGAGCCUCCUUAAUCUGUGCGGAUAGAUGCGAAUGGAUAGUCAUUGUUAAUGACUUGACCCUUCUACCAUAAUAUUAUUUCCAGCUUAGGGCGUCUGCUACUACAUUGGCUUUCCCCAGAUGGUAACGAAUUUCACAUUCAUAGUCAUUGAGUAGCUCGACCCGCCGUUGUUGUCUCAUAUUGAACUCCUUCUGGUUGAAUAUUUAUUGGAAGCUUUUGUGGUCGGUGUAUAUCGUGCUCUUUGUACCGUACAGGAAGUGUCUCCAGAUCUUUAGGGGAACACAAUCGCUCCUAACUCGAGGUCGUGUGUUGUGUAGUUGACCUCGUGUGUAUUCAUCUGUCUUGAGGCGUAGGCGAUGAACUUUCCUCGUUGCAUCAGAACACAACCGAGCCCCUGAUUGGAUGCAUCACAGUAUACCAUGAAAUCUUCUAUACCUUCGGGGAGGGAUAGUAUCGGUGCGGGCAUAAUGCUUAUUUCAGGGUUUGGAAUGCCUUAUCUUGUUUCUCUCCCCAGUCAAAGGCCAUGCCUUUCUGGGUCAAUGUUCUAAGGGGUUUCUCGAUCCAAGAGAAGUUCUGUAUGAACCUGCGGUAGUAGCCAGCAAGGCCUAGAAAUUGACGAAUUUCUGUAGGCGUCUUUGGUGUUGACUAGUUCUCAAUAGCUUUAAUCUUGGAUGGGUCCACGUGGAUUCCUUCUUCGCUAACUACGUGUCCUAAGAAUUCGACUCUUCGGAUCCAAAAUUCGCACUUAGAGAACUUCACGUAUAGCUUCUCUGAUCGUUGGGUUUCCAAGACUUGUCGUAGAUGAUUGCUAUGCUCCUCCUUACUUCGAGAGUAGAUGAGUAUGUCAUCAAUGAAGACGAUGACGAACUGGUCCAGGUAAGGACGACACACCCUGAUUCAUUAAGUCCAUGAUGAAUAUCGCAGGCGCAUUGGUCAGUCCAAACGGCAUCACUACGAACUCGUAGUGUCCGUAACGAGUUCGGAAGGCUGUCUUCGGAACAUCCUCCUCAAGCACUCGUAACUGGUGAUACCCGGACCUCAGAUCAAUCUUGGAAAAGUAACUCGCCCUUUGCAGUUGGUCAAAUAAAUCCUCUAUACGAGGAAGAGGGUAACAAUUUUUGACUAUCAACUUGUUGAGUUCUCUGUAAUCGAUGCACAUGCGGAACGAUCUGUCUUUCUUCUUUACGAACAAGACCGGCGCUCCCCAAGGUGAGAAGCUUGGUCUUAUAAAGCCCUUGCUGAGCAGUUCGUUAAGUUGACCGGACAGUUCUUUCAUCUCAGGAGGCGCUAGACGAUAGGGCGACUUGGCUAUGGGGGUAGCUCCUGGAAUUAGGUCGAUCCUGAACUCAACCUGACGUUAGGGAGGUAAACCUGGUAGCUCUUCUGGAAAAACGUCAGGGAAUUCGCAUACUAUGGGGAAGUCCUUUAGAUCUUUUGUUUCUGGCUCAUGUCGACGACUUGUGAAAGGAAUGCACGAUAUUCCUUAUGCAAAUACUUAUGGGCUUGAAUACUUGAGAUGAUACGAAGGCUUGUACCGGGUUUGUCUUCGUAGAUUAACAGAGUUUUGUUAUUCGGUAGAUUUAGACGGUUGGCUUUGUCGAAUCAUAGGAUAUCAGCACGAUGGAGACUCAACCAGUCCAUGCCCAUAAUGACAUCGAAACUCUUGAUCGAUACUGGUAUAAGAUCAAUUGGGAAUGAGUGAUUAUCUAGUGUGAGGGUACAACCUAUGUAGAUAUCAUUAGAACUCUUUGUCUUUCCGUUAGCCAUUUCUACGACGAAGGUUUCUUCUAAUGGUUGCGGGGAUUGUUUAAGUAAGUACUUAAAGUUUUGGUUUACGAAGCUUCUUUCUGCUCCGCUAUCGAAUAGGAUACAAGCAUAAGAUUUAUCGAGAAGGAACGUACCCGUGACUACUGUGGGGUCUGCUACUGCUUCAUUGUAGCCAAUAGCAAGUAGUCUUCCUGUUCCUCCCGUAUUCCCAGCUUUCAGACAAUUUCUUUUGAAGUUCCCUGUCUCGCCGCAGCCAUAGCAGGCUUGACUCACUCCGGUACUGGGAAUUUGAUUGAUGGGUUUGGGUUGAGAUCUGCAAAACCAGGCGGUAUGGCCCUUCCGAUCCCAGUCAAUGCAGUGCAUUUCACGGCAGGGCCCGUGAUGAUGGAUGGAGCACUUGGUGCACUUGGGUAGGUUUCCAACAUAUGUUUUGGCUGGUACAGGGGUAGCAGGAGUAGUGGGAGUAUGGACAGCUAUAGUCUGUUGAUAUUUGGAAGAGGAUUGAGUUGACUUGCCCUUCUUUCGGUCCCACCGUUUCCUCUUGUUGUCGGAUGUCUUGGUUGGUGUAGUGGCAACUUUUGUGGUUGUUGAUGGAGUGGAAGGAACUUCAUGAUCAAUCAACCUUUCGGCUAAUUGCUUGGCACUGUCAAAGGUCGUAGGGUGUGAUGCUAGAACGUUCCCUCGAUACGGGGGCACUAAACCCCAGAUGUAUCGGUCAAUUUUCUUGCUUUCAGUAGGGACCAUGUUAGGACAUAGAGUUACUAGGUCGCAGAACCUGGCUAUAUAAGGUGCUAUGUUGGUCCCCUUCAUCUUGAGGUUCCAGAGUUCCUCCUCGAGUUUCUGAAUUUCACCUCUAGGGCAGUACUCCCUUGUCAAAAGGUCCUUCAGUGUGUCUCAGCCCAUGGCGUUGUCUGUUACUAAGGAGAGUGAUUUGACAUGGCCAUUCCACGACGUCAAGGCCCUUUCGGUGAAGGUGCAGGCAACGAACUUUAUCUUGCUUUCCUCGGGGCAUGAGCACAUCUCGAAGAUGGAUUUGGUUCUUUCGAUCCAUUGGGACAAUGCAAUGAUCCCUCCGGUCCCAUUGAAGAAUGUUGGUUUGCAGUUCAUGAAAUCCUUAUAGGUACACCCCUAUGUCUGUUGGUGGACUUCACCAUGUCUAGAGUUGCCACCCAUUCCAGCUCCACUUGCAUCACUGGAAUUCAUUUGGGCCAUAGCUACGGUUACAGCCGUGGUUACGGCUGCUUGAAACAUCACCGCAUCGAACUGUGGAGGUGGAGUUUGAUCCAAAGGUGUGCCUCUGUUCGGACGCUUGCGAGGAGGCAUCUUAUACUGAAAAUUUAUAAAGAUGAUGACAAUAGUAAGAAUCGAUUGUAAACAUGAUCAGAGUGUGUCACAGACUAAAUCGCCAUAGUCCAACUAUCAGAUAGAGUCAUAACAACAGAGUAGGGAAAUACGAAAGCAUAGACUUCCCAUGGAGUAGAUAAUUGCCAAUAUUACUAGUAUUAAUGAUGUAAAAUGAGUUCGUGAAAAGUGACCUAAUAGUAGGUCUUACAUCAAACCAUAAGGGAAAAUGUUGGCAGCCUAGGAGCCUAGAUAAAGUACUUUUAGAGUUAGAAAUGUUUACAGACAAGUGCUCUAUCGAGCAUAGAAGAGAAAAGGCUAAUCCUUAAACAAAAGAGAAAGAUGAGUUGACAUCUUCUACUGGCGACAGGUAUCCAUUGGGCGAACCCUAAGAUCAUCCAGUUGGCGUACAACUUCCUGAAGAUGUUGUUCUUGUGCCCUCUGACGCGCUCGGAGUUCCCUAACUUCAGCUUGGGAUGCAGCUAGCUGUUGCUGCAGAGCCUCAUUGAUCCUCCUAGUCCUAUCCAUGGCUUCUUCCAGUUGGCGGAUACGAACAGUGUUAAGGUUAGACUUGGCGUCAAUUUCCACAACUCGGCCAAUGGUUGUAUGACCUUGUUCGACGUUCUUAGAAAUCCUACAGACCAUGAUGGGAAAGACUCUGUCCGCUGAACCUCCCUCGCUUAUGUUGUAGAAGCUUCGGUCUCCAUUGAAAGGUAAAGGUUGACCUUGCUCAUCGCUCCAUCGAUUCAAGGUUGUUGCCCACAUGGGAGUGGGACCCUGAAAUGUUGGACGGGGGUUGGGGUUUGGAGCUACCGGGGGCAGGUUGUUGACUUCUGGUUCGGAGUCGGAGCUAUCUGAAAGGCCCUCUGCACGGUGAUCAUCCAAAGGGAUCGGGUGAUCAUCUUCUGGCUCCUCAUCGAGCCAUCCUCCAAUGCUUUGGUUUGAAUAGUACAGAUCACCUGGAAGGUGGAAACCAGCCAUGCUAUCUACGCGAGAAAGGGGGAAAAGAAUAGUUAAUAGACGUUCCAAUCUAAGAUACUUAUAAGAUGAUCGUUAUGAGUUAAACCAAUACUUGCAUAGUGCAUACCAAUUACAUGCGACCGAGACAGAAUAGACCUUCGAAUAAAUGACCCUAACUCUAAAUCCACAACCAAACAAGGAACAGGAAGUAAAGCAAAGAUCAUAGAUUCUAAGUCUAUAGUGCCUUAGCCACAUGUAAUCGUAGAGUAUCCACUUAGCAACUAUUGCUCCAAUAGUAACGACCUUUUUAGUUCUCACAUAUGUUAAUUACAGCAAUGCAGAAUACCCCUAUAGUAUUCUUGUUCUAAUGUUCUUGUGAUAGUGUUGGUAAGUUUUUAGACUUAUUGCAACACCACAAACACUCUUAGGCACAUGCUAGUCACUCCUGGGAAAAUGUAGUUGAUCAGUCUACAUUCACCUAGAUUUGACUAUAUGUCUCUAAGCCUAAUUGUGCUGUUCAACAAUCUUAAUACUUUUGUUCUGUUCUGAUAUGAUACUGACCCUUUGUAUUAACGGAUGUAUAUAUAUACUUAGUUAAAUAUUUUACUAUUUAAAAGUAUAUAUUAUUGGUCAGAGUGUUUUAAUCCCGGUGUGUUUAUAGUUUGUAUGUCUUUUAUGGGUUGAUAUACUUGAUUCACUAUAAACAAUGCUCUGAUACCAAUUUGUCACACCCCAAAACCGAGAAUGGUGGAAUACGUUCUGGGGUGGAGGACAUCAUGUACAGUAUCAUUACAAUGUAUAAUAGUAAAAACAAGAAACAACAUCCAUUGCAUUAAUAUAAUAAUUGUAAAUACAAGCGUGUUCUGUACAGUUUGUUAGACACCAAAAGUAUAAUCAAAAUAAAAAGAUGAGUCUUGUAUGUGCUCCAUCUUCUCAAAAGCUGCAUCUGUACCUGUCUACUGAUGACCUGAGAAUACAAGUAAUUUUGAAAACGAGUAUCAACAUAAAGUUGGUGAGUUCAUAAGUAUUUAGUUUCAUUGCUUGUAUAAAAGUGUUUACAAUCAUAUAAUAUAAUAGCUGUUAUCAAUGUUUGAAGAUAGUAUGAUCCCUAGAAAAUCCCAUAUUUUCUAGCAAAAGUAGUCUUCUACCAAGACUCGGUUACUUGUGUAUUUAAUCCUUUGAAAGUAUAAGAGUUUUCCCAAUGAAACUAUCAGUAUGAAAAUAUAGUUUUAGACUUUAUUUAUGUAAAGUAAUUGGGAAAAAUAAUGUUAUACCCCAGUAGUGUCAUUGACAGCUGAAUGUAAUAAAAUAUAGACUCCAGGUAGUAUUAAAUGUACAAUACCCCUCGGGGAGUUUGUUUUGCCUUUAAUUCUUAAUGUAAUAAUUAAAGGUUUGAAUGUGAACUCGUAUGUAACCAUGUUGAUUGACGAUCGAAUAACUGAUGACCCUCUAGGUCACACGUAGUAUAGUGACAUUUUGUCACCCCUGGGCCUAGUCGGCUCGGACAGUAGUUAGCAGUCGGGAUGUGGGAGUGUCUGUCCCGUAUAGAUCUAUACACAAAAUGCCCGCUCUCCCUCCAGGAGACUCUGGUUACACGGUUAUGACACAGUGAAGUGUCGUAUCGAGGAAUAGUAUGUUACAUUAUGUUUUAGUAUAUUCUCUUGUAUUAUAGUAUAAUGUACUUCUUGGUAUAAUGUAUUGAGUAUUCUCUUGAAUAGUAUAUGGUAUUCUCUUUGUAUAUUAUUUAACAUGUAUAGACUUAUAAUAGUACUAACUAUAGCAAGUGUCAUGGUAAUAAUAGUAAUGAGCGGUAAUCCUUAACUUUACCUAUUAUAGUUAAAUAGAGUGUUGGUUGCAUGCCUUUGAUACACUAAGGUAUUGAACUGAAGUGAAGACUAUUAUAUCCAACACAAAUAUAUACAAUAUAUAACUAAGAAUUCAACGACAGUUGGACAGAUAACAAUAUACCCUAAGUCCACAAUCAAACAAGAACAGGAAGUAAGGUGGGCUAUCAUUCCUAAGUCCUUCAAGUCUUACUUAUAUAAAUAUAUUGGUGUAGAUAUGGUUGGGAAACAAAAGAAGUUUAAAAGAGUUCGGAAAUAGUUUUAUAACAAUUUAACAUGAAAAAUGAGUUUGAUAAACAUUUAAAGCAGUUUUGUUGGCAAAGCAGUUAAAAGUAUAGAAAAUCCUUUUUGGAUGCAAGUCAUAAAUCACAUGUGAUUGAUACUAUAACUUGUUGGAUUCAACUUGUAUUCCCCCCCCCCCCCAAAAAAACAUUUAAAAACAUUUAAAAGGUCAAUCAAGGGGUAUGAACUCACCUGCAGUGAGUGAAGUGAAUGGAAAUGUCGGGUAGGAUACUAAGUGUCAAGUGAGGACUUGAACACACACGCGGAUCCUAUGUAACUUGCAGUGAUACAUAAUUGUACCCAAUUAGUUAUUUAAUCACAAAUUAACUAAUUAAAGACACUCUAAUGCACGCAAACACUUUGUUUCAAGUGCUAGGAGUGUUAAGGGUUGCAUCUAAGGAGAGUAUGGUCCCACUUUGGAGUUUACUCCUCAAUGGUAGCCCUUAGGGGUGUUUACGGUUUUUGAACCAUUUCCCCCAUGAGUUUACGCCCGUAAACUCAUGGAAAUGGUGUCAUUGGGUGCUCAAAGGUCUUAAACUACUCAAGAAAUUAUGCUAGACUCGAAUCAAGGGCUUAGGAAGGGAUUGGGGCUCAACAUGACCCUUCUUUGGAGUUUACGGUUUUUGAACCAUUCCUUGGGGAUUGUACGGUCGUAAACACAUGAGUUUACAGCCGUAAACUCAUGUUUGCUUCUUCCUUUCGUGUUUUGGUGCUUCUAUGGUGAGCAUGCAAAGUUCUAAUCACUUAUUCAAGCCGUAGAAGGUGUUUAGGGGCAUCAAAACACCCUUUGGGGGUGUUUACGGUUUUGGGAGGUUCCCAAACCGUAAACACAUGUUCUUGGGGGGGGGGUUUGGGUGUUUAGCCCAUGGAUUUGCAAGUAUACUAAGCAAACAACUAGCUAGGAGGGGUAUACUUACUUAUAUGAAGCUUGUAAGAGGGUUUAGGACCCAAAAACACUAGUGUGUUCUUGGUGUUUUGAAGAUCACUUGAAUAUCUAGUUAAAACCAAGAAUCCAUGGAUGAAAAGAUGUAUAAACACUUGAUUAAGUGUUGUAUGAACGAAUUUUGGAAGAAAACACUUACAUUUUGGUGGAUUUGAAGAAGUGAACUUAUGAUACUUGAGAGAAUAAGCCUUGUGUUCUUGAGGGGGAAGUGUAAAAUGAGGACAAGAGUGGUAAACUCAUGCUAUAUGCAUGAGUCUUGGGAGAAUGGUGUUUAUGGCCCAAACACCCCUUGUUUGGCCUUAAACACUUAGCUAAGGUGUCGGGUUUGUUUUGUUCGUUACAUCUCACAAUUAACGACACUUCCUUUUAUUUAAUCGUUUGACGAAAAAUAAAAUAAAACACCAAACGGACUUAAAUCCGGCCAAAAAUGUAUUCAAAUAGUUUCGACUAAUAUUUGAAGUGUUUGAAUGUGGAAAUUAUACAAUUGAAAAUUUCGGGUUUUUACAUCAUUAGACUUUAUCAUAUUCAUUUGAAUUGAGCGUAUUGUAAGACUAAUAUGGCAAGUCAAUCGAGCAUGGGGAACAAACGAGCGUGGGGGUGAGAUGCAUGCAAUUGAAGCAGCUACCUGAAAAUCUGGGUUUGAUUCCCUUAGAUACCUUUGGGUUUAGCCUUGAGGAAAGACAACAUAUACCAAGAAAGAAGAGGUUGGAGGGCUUGACAGAGAUGCGCGGGAUGCUCCGGAAUGAGCCUCAACAGAAAAGAAGGAAACUUCCCUAUCUAGUUCAAGUCCUAAAACAACGGAUAUUGGAGAAGCUGAACGAGAAGAAAUAG
rnacentral:lncRNA from 1 species